ACGAGUGGCGGACGGGUGAGUAAUGUCUGGGAAACUGCCCGGUGGAGGGGGAUAACUACUGGAAACGGUAGCUAAUACCGCAUAACGUCGCAAGACCAAAGAGGGGGACCUUCGGGCCUCUUGCCACCGGAUGUGCCCAGAUGGGAUUAGCUUGCUGGUGGGGUAACGGCUCACCAAGGCGACGAUCCCUAGCUGGUCUGAGAGGAUGACCAGCCACACUGGAACUGAGACACGGUCCAGACUCCUACGGAAGGCAGCAG
rnacentral:rRNA from 1 species